CACGUAGUUGGCCGUGGCUUAUUCUUCGGGUACCGUCAUUAUCGUCCCCGAAAAAAGUGGUUUACGACCCGAAGGCCUUCAUCCCACACGCGGUAUUGCUGCGUCAGGGUUUCCCCCAUUGCGCAAAAUUCCCGA
rnacentral:rRNA from 1 species